AUGUAUGUGCAGCAUGAGAAUCAAAAGCAGAGAGCAAACGACACACACACACACUCACAAACACAGAGACAGGGAGAGAGAGAAAGAGAAAAGAGAAUGGGAUCGACUUCAAUGGCGACGAGCUCUAAUCCGCAAGGGCUUCACCAAGUCUUCGUGUACGGAAGCCUGUUGUCCGACGAAGUUGUUCGAGUUCUACUGAAGCGCGUCCCUCAGUCUUGUCCUGCAAUUCUCGAUGGCUUCCAUAUAUUUAGCAUCAAAGAAUGCGUUUAUCCUGCUAUUAUACCUGUGGAGAAUAAGAAAGUUACUGGGAAGGUAUUAUUGGGUAUCACACUUCCUGAAUUAGAUAUAUUGGACACUUUUGAGGAUGUUGAGUAUAAUAGGUGCACUGUUGAGGUUUCUUUGAUGGAUGGCUCUCAGAAGUUACAGGCUCAUACAUAUGUUUGGGCAAACAGUAGUGAUCCAAACUUAUAUGGUGAUUGGAGUUUUGAGGAAUGGAGACAAGCACACAUUAAAGACUACAUAAAGAUGACCAUGGGGUUCAUGGAAGAACUUGAGCAACCUGAAUCAAAACCAUGAGUGGAAACCUGAAUCUUUCUACCAGCAGAUUGGUUGGCAAUUCAACCAUGCCUUUAUAUUCUUCUUUAUGAUCUUCUCAAUUCUUUAAAUAUAUAUAUAUAUAUAUAUGUUUGCUUUGUGGUAAUCAUUGUUGCCACAUACACAAGACAUUAUGCAUUCCAGAUUCCUGAACUUUGGAUAUAUGUAUGAGAUCACCAAUUGUCCCAAAAGCUUAAAUAAUUAGGAAAUGGACCUAACAAUGUGGUAUCAUUGUAUUCAACAUUGUGGACAUCAUUUUGAGAAAUAUUGACUUUUUGGGGAAUCAUCUUUGCUUCCAGAUUUACAAAAA